rnacentral:lncRNA from 1 species
UUUCCUCCAAAGUUUUUUCGGCUACACAACUCCGUUCUUGGAAUUUUUGCAAAUCUCUUUCUAAUCGUGCUAUUGCUCUGUAACAAUGCUCUCUCUCAGCCUUGAAGUCACUAGCUUGCUUUGACAUUUUGUUUUUAACCAUGAUGACCUUCCUCUUCAACCCAGAAACCUCGUUUUUAUGCCUUUCUUUUAAUUGUUCAAUCAUGUGUGCUCAUUCUUCCGCAUUUUUAGCCAAUUGUGUUUGGGCCCUGGACAGCUCACCCUCUGCUUUGUUUCGGUCAAAAUCAUAUUCCUCUACUUUUCGCCUCAGGUUGUCUAUGAGCUUCUCAUCCUUCACAUUUCGGGCGGGUAAUAGCAUGCAAUAAGUAAUAAGGCCAAUCCGUG